rnacentral:rRNA from 1 species
GAUGAACGCUGGCGGCGUGCCUAAUACAUGCAAGUCGAGCGAACAGACGAGGAGCUUGCUCCUUUGACGUUAGCGGCGGACGGGUGAGUAACACGUGGAUAACCUACCUAUAAGACUGGGAUAACUUCGGGAAACCGGAGCUAAUACCGGAUAAUAUAUUGAACCGCAUGGUUCAAUAGUGAAAGACGGUUUUGCUGUCACUUAUAGAUGGAUCCGCGCCGCAUUAGCUAGUUGGUAAGGUAACGGCUUACCAAGGCAACGAUGCGUAGCCGACCUGAGAGGGUGAUCGGCCACACCGGAACUGAGACACGGUCCAGACUCCUACGGGAGGCAGCAGUAGGGAAUCUUCCGCAAUGGGCGAAAGCCUGACGGAGCAACGCCGCGUGAGUGAUGAAGGUCUUCGGAUCGUAAAACUCUGUUAUUAGGGAAGAACAAAUGUGUAAGUAACUAUGCACGUCUUGACGGUACCUAAUCAGAAAGCCACGGCUAACUACGUG